rnacentral:tRNA from 1 species
GCGUUCAUGGCGGCUUACUGGCAGGCGACCGAGCACCUCCAUGGUAAGGAGGGGGUCGACGGUUCGAGUCCGUCAGAGGGCU